rnacentral:rRNA from 1 species
UGGGGAAUAUUGCACAAUGGGCGCAAGCCCGAUGCAGCGACGCCGCGUGCGGGAUGGAGGCCUUCGGGUUGUAAACCGCUUUUGUUCAAGGGCAAGGCAGGCUUUCGGGCCUGUUGAGUGGAUUGUUCGAAUAAGCACCGGCUAACUACGUGCC